CAACAAAUGCAUUAGCAAAUGAAAAGGUGUCUGAAGAAGGAUUUGGGUACACUAUGAGAUAAAUUACUCUGUCAUAGAUAGGUCAGGCCUAUGCACAUAGCCUGCCUGGCCUGUCACAUUCUCCUGGCCUGCUUCCUUGAAAGGUCACAGAAUUUAAAAGGGGAAAACUGGGGACUGGAUUGGUUAUUCUGCCAGGCUCAUAGCCUAUGUGCCUGUGGAAUAUUCUCUCUCCUUUCCCCCACCUUCUGUAGCAACUGCCACUGUCACAAAAACAAUACUUAUGCCACUGAAAUGUGCAUAGGAGGAGAUCCUGAUAAAUGGCAUAUGGAAUCCUGGUCACAGGGUGGCCAUUGCUAUCCAGUGGAAACUGCUAUUCACACAAAGAAAAAGCAUUUAAAGAAGUAUCUGAGUUUUGGAAGCUACCAGAGGAAAUACCAAGGAGGAUGCUGAAUGAAACUUCAUAAACUUGCGUGACAAUAAGUUUAAUAUUUAUUGAAGAAAUAAUGUCCCAGUGGUUCCUCAACAGUUCAUUUGUAUGUGUGUCUGAAGAGUGAAGUCUAAGGGAAAGACAGGACAGGGAAAUGCUUACAAAGUACAAGGAAAAAG
rnacentral:lncRNA from 1 species